UACAAAUCAUAAACCACACUCCCAUUUUCUAAAAAAAAAAACGUAUUUUUCAAUAGACACUACACACCUAUUCCUGUGCUUAACAGAAGUUGAAAAAAAAAAAUUCAGCAGAAAUUCAGCAUUUUACACAAUGUGUUUGGUGGAAAGCAGAAUCACCACUGAUCUAUAUAUAACAUAUAUUUAUAUAUAUAGAUCAGUGAGAAUCACUCAAAACCAUCACGAUGUCAUCACAACAUGAACACGACUUCACCAUGUAAAUACUAUACAUGUUCAGACUGCAGGCAAAAUCGGAUUUUUUCAGGAAGACUAUCCGCGCUAUUAAUUGCAAGUGAUCAAAUCAGAAUUGUCCGUUCAGGCAUAACCAACAUAUCUGCAUGGGUUGCUUUGGUAACGACGUAGGUGUAUUAUUUAUUUUUAUUUUUAUUUUUUUUAACGACGUAGGUGUACCCCACGUGACGAUGCUAUGGAGGUGCAUCAUCUCGCUCUCCAGAUAAGCGCCCUGUCCAGUCACGGUGCAGAACUCAUCCGUCGUACUCGCACAAGAAAAACUCAGCGGAGGAGACAGGGCGGAGGGUGGGGCAAGGUGUGCAGCAUCACGUCCACCCCAACAGAGCAGCUGUGGCCAUCCGCCAGAUGAUAGAGGAUGUGGCGGGGCGUUCCGCCUGCCAGGGUCCGGAGGACUGCCUCCAAUCUGCCCGGGGAGGCACAGCUGUUGUCCACUAGAGGGUGGAGGAGUGGCAGAGGACCAAGCUACGGCAUAUCAGAGAACCGAUCCAGAAAGGUACCCCGGCCUGAAAGAACCUGGG